rnacentral:rRNA from 1 species
UACGGGGGGGGCAAGCGUUGUUCGGAAUUACUGGGCGUAAAGGGCUCGUAGGCGGCCAACUAAGUCAGACGUGAAAUCCCUCGGCUUAACCGGGGAACUGCGUCUGAUACUGGAUGGCUUGAGGUUGGGAGAGGGAUGCGGAAUUCCCGGUGUAGCGGUGAAAUGCGCAGAUAUCGGGAGGAACACCGGUGGCGAAGGCGGUUCUCUGGGCCUUACCUGACGCUGAGGAGCGAAAGCGUGGGGAGCGAACAGG